rnacentral:rRNA from 1 species
UUAAGCGACUAAGCGUACACGGUGGAUGCCCUGGCAGUCAGAGGCGAUGAAGGACGUGCUAAUCUGCGAAAAGCGUCGGUAAGGUGAUAUGAACCGUUAUAACCGGCGAUGUCCGAAUGGGGAAACCCAGUGCAAUUCGUUGCACUAUCGUUAACUGAAUACAUAGGUUAACGAGGCGAACCGGGGGAACUGAAACAUCUAAUUACCCCGAGGAAAAGAAAUCAACCGAGAUUCCCCCAGUAGCGGCGAGCGAACGGGGAGCAGCCCAGAGUCUGAAUCAGCUUGUGUGUUAGUGGAACGGUCUGGAAAGUCCGACGGUACAGGGUGAUAGUCCCGUACACCAAAAUGCACAGGUUGUGAACUCGAAGAGUAGGGCGGGACACGUGGUAUCCUGUCUGAAUAUGGGGGGACCAUCCUCCAAGGCUAAAUACUCCUGACUGACCGAUAGUGAACCAGUACCGUGAGGGAAAGGCGAAAAGAACCCCGGCGAGGGGAGUGAAAAAGAACCUGAAACCGUGUACGUACAAGCAGUGGGAGCACCUUCGGGUGUGACUGCGUACCUUUUGUAUAAUGGGUCAGCGACUUAUAUUCUGUAGCAAGGUUAACCGUAUAGGGGAGCCGCAGGGAAACCGAGUCUUAACUGGGCGUUAAGUUGCAGGGUAUAGACCCGAAACCCGGUGAUCUAGCCAUGGGCAGGUUGAAGGUUGGGUAACACUAACUGGAGGACCGAACCGACUAAUGUUGAAAAAUUAGCGGAUGACUUGUGGCUGGGGGUGAAAGGCCAAUCAAACCGGGAGAUAGCUGGUUCUCCCCGAAAGCUAUUUAGGUAGCGCCUCGUGAAUUCAUCUUCGGGGGUAGAGCACUGUUUCGGCUAGGGGGUCAUCCCGACUUACCAACCCGAUGCAAACUACGAAUACCGAAGAAUGUUAUCACGGGAGACACACGGCGGGUGCUAACGUCCGUCGUGAAGAGGGAAACAACCCAGACCGCCAGCUAAGGUCCCAAAGUCAUGGUUAAGUGGGAAACGAUGUGGGAAGGCACAGACAGCCAGGAUGUUGGCUUAGAAGCAGCCAUCAUUUAAAGAAAGCGUAAUAGCUCACUGGUCGAGUCGGCCUGCGCGGAAGAUGUAACGGGGCUAAACCAUGCACCGAAGCUGCGGCAGCGACACUAUGUGUUGUUGGGUAGGGGAGCGUUCUGUAAGCCUGCGAAGGUGUGCUGUGAGGCAUGCUGGAGGUAUCAGAAGUGCGAAUGCUGACAUAAGUAACGAUAAAGCGGGUGAAAAGCCCGCUCGCCGGAAGACCAAGGGUUCCUGUCCAACGUUAAUCGGGGCAGGGUGAGUCGACCCCUAAGGCGAGGCCGAAAGGCGUAGUCGAUGGGAAACAGGUUAAUAUUCCUGUACUUGGUGUUACUGCGAAGGGGGGACGGAGAAGGCUAUGUUAGCCGGGCGACGGUUGUCCCGGUUUAAGCAUGUAGGCUGGUUAUCCAGGCAAAUCCGGAUAAUCAAGGCUGAGGUGUGAUGACGAGGCACUACGGUGCUGAAGUAACAAAUGCCCUGCUUCCAGGAAAAGCCUCUAAGCAUCAGGUAACAUUAAAUCGUACCCCAAACCGACACAGGUGGUCAGGUAGAGAAUACCAAGGCGCUUGAGAGAACUCGGGUGAAGGAACUAGGCAAAAUGGUGCCGUAACUUCGGGAGAAGGCACGCUGGUGUGUAGGUGAAGCCCCUGCGGGUGGAGCUGAGACCAGUCGAAGAUACCAGCUGGCUGCAACUGUUUAUUAAAAACACAGCACUGUGCAAACACGAAAGUGGACGUAUACGGUGUGACGCCUGCCCGGUGCCGGAAGGUUAAUUGAUGGGGUUAUCCGUAAGGAGAAGCUCUUGAUCGAAGCCCCGGUAAACGGCGGCCGUAACUAUAACGGUCCUAAGGUAGCGAAAUUCCUUGUCGGGUAAGUUCCGACCUGCACGAAUGGCGUAAUGAUGGCCAGGCUGUCUCCACCCGAGACUCAGUGAAAUUGAACUCGCUGUGAAGAUGCAGUGUACCCGCGGCAAGACGGAAAGACCCCGUGAACCUUUACUAUAGCUUGACACUGAACAUUGAGCCUUGAUGUGUAGGAUAGGUGGGAGGCUUUGAAGCGUGGACGCCAGUCUGCGUGGAGCCAACCUUGAAAUACCACCCUUUAAUGUUUGAUGUUCUAACGUUGGCCCCUUACCGGGGUUGCGGACAGUGUCUGGUGGGUAGUUUGACUGGGGCGGUCUCCUCCCAAAGCGUAACGGAGGAGCACGAAGGUUAGCUAAUCCUGGUCGGACAUCAGGAGGUUAGUGCAAUGGCAUAAGCUAGCUUGACUGCGAGCGUGACGGCGCGAGCAGGUGCGAAAGCAGGUCAUAGUGAUCCGGUGGUUCUGAAUGGAAGGGCCAUCGCUCAACGGAUAAAAGGUACUCCGGGGAUAACAGGCUGAUACCGCCCAAGAGUUCAUAUCGACGGCGGUGUUUGGCACCUCGAUGUCGGCUCAUCACAUCCUGGGGCUGAAGUAGGUCCCAAGGGUAUGGCUGUUCGCCAUUUAAAGUGGUACGCGAGCUGGGUUUAGAACGUCGUGAGACAGUUCGGUCCCUAUCUGCCGUGGGCGCUGGAGAAUUGAGGGGGGCUGCUCCUAGUACGAGAGGACCGGAGUGGACGCAUCACUGGUGUUCGGGUUGUCAUGCCAAUGGCACUGCCCGGUAGCUAAAUGCGGAAGAGAUAAGUGCUGAAAGCAUCUAAGCACGAAACUUGCCCCGAGAUGAGUUCUCCCUGAGACUUUAAGUCUCCUGAAGGAACGUUAAAGACGAUGACGUUGAUAGGCCGGGUGUGUAAGCGCAGCGAUGCGUUGAGCUAACCGGUACUAAUGAACCGUGAGGCUUAACCUU